UACGUAGGGUGCGAGCGUUGUCCGGAAUUAUUGGGCGUAAAGAGCUCGUAGGCGGUCUGUCGCGUCGGGAGUGAAAACACCGGGCUUAACUCGGUGCUUGCUUUCGAUACGGGCAGACUAGAGGCAUGCAGGGGAGAACGGAAUUCCUGGUGUAGCGGUGAAAUGCGCAGAUAUCAGGAGGAACACCGGUGGCGAAGGCGGUUCUCUGGGCAUGUCCUGACGCUGAGGAGCGAAAGUGUGGGGAGCGAACAGG
rnacentral:rRNA from 1 species